AGCAGCCGCGGUAAUUCCAGCUCCAAUAGCGUAUAUUAAAGUUGUUGCAGUUAAAAAGCUCGUAGUUGAACUUCAGGCCUGUCCAGAUGGUCCGCCUUAAUUGGUGUGUACUGUCCUUGGGUGGGUCCUACCUUCUGGCGAAGCGGCAUGGCCUUAGUUGGUUGUGUUGGGGAACCAGGACCUUUACUGUGAAAAAAUUAGAGUGUUCAAAGCAGGCAUAAUAUGCUCGAAUACAUUAGCAUGGAAUAAUGGAAUAGGACGAUGGUUCUAUUUUGUUGGUUCUAGGACCGUUGUAAUGAUUAAUAGGGAUAGUUGGGGGCAUUAGUAUUCAAUUGUCAGAGGUGAAAUUCUUGGAUUUAUUGAAGACUAACUACUGCGAAAGCAUUUGCCAAGGAUGUUUUCAUUAAUCAAGAACGAAAGUUAGGGGAUCGAAGACGAUCAGAUACCGUCGUAGUCUUAACCAUAAACUAUGCCGACUAGGAAUCAGACGAUGUUAAUUUUUUAAUGACUCGUUUGGCAC
rnacentral:misc_RNA from 2 species